CCUACGAGAGGCAGCAGUAGGGAAUAUUGCUCAAUGGGGGAAACCCUGAAGCAGCAACGCCGCGUGGAGGAUGAAGGUUUUAGGAUUGUAAACUCCUUUUGAUAGGGAAGAUAAGGACGGUAUCUCACGAGUAAUCACCGGCUAACUCCGUGCCAGCAGCCGCGGUAAUACGGAGGGUGCAAGCGUUACUCGGAAUGACUGGGCGUAAAGAGUGCGCAGGCGGGCUUGUAAGUCAGAUGUGAAAUCCUGCAGCUUAACUACAGAACUGCAUUUGAAACUAUGAGUCUAGAGUGUGGGAGAGGUAGGUGGAAUUCUUGGUGUAGGGGUAAAAUCCGUAGAUAUCAAGAGGAAUACUCAUUGCGAAGGCGACCUACUGGAACAUUACUGACGCUCAUGCACGAAAGCGUGGGUAGCAAACAGGAUUAGAUACCCCUGUAGUC
rnacentral:rRNA from 1 species